GACGAACGCUGGCGGCGCGCUUAACACAUGCAAGUCGGGCGAUGAAAUUUCGACAGAUCCCUUCGGGGUGAAGAUGAAAUGGAUUAGCGGCGGACGGGUGAGUAACACGUGAGUAACCUGCCUUUGACAUUGGGAUAGCCUCGGGAAACUGGGAUUAAUACCAAAUGACACUAACUGAUCACAUGAUCAAUUAGUCAAAGAAAUUCGGUCAAAGAUGGACUCGCGGCUGAUUAGCUAGUUGGUGAGGUAACGGCCCACCAAGGCGACGAUCAGUAGCCGGCCUGAGAGGGUGAUCGGCCACAUUGGAACUGAGACACGGUCCAAACUCCUACGGGAGGCAGCAGUGGGGAAUAUUGCACAAUGGGGGAAACCCUGAUGCAGCGACGCCGCGUGAGCGAAGAAGGCCUUCGGGUCGUAAAGCUCUUUUAUGAGGGAAGAUAAUGACGGUACCUCAAGAAAAAGCCCCGGCUAACUACGUG
rnacentral:rRNA from 1 species